rnacentral:rRNA from 1 species
GACGAACGCUGGCGGCGUGCCUAACACAUGCAAGUCGAGCGGAGUCGAUCGACGGAAGCCUUCGGGCGGAAGAUGGUUGACUUAGCGGCGGAUGGGUGAGUAACGCGUGGGCAACCUGCCUCGAAGACCGGGAUAACAGCCCGAAAGGGCUGCUAAUACCGGAUGUGGUCAAAGAUCCGCAUGGAUUUUGAUUAAAGGGGAAACCCGUUUCGAGAUGGGCCCGCGUCCUAUCAGCUAGUUGGUGAGGUAAAAGCUCACCAAGGCGACGACGGGUAGCCGGCCUGAGAGGGUGACCGGCCACACUGGAACUGAGACACGGUCCAGACUCCUACGGGGGGCAGCAGUGGGGAAUCUUCCACAAUGGGCGAAAGCCUGAUGGAGCGACGCCGCGUGAGCGAAGAAGGCCUUCGGGUUGUAAAGCUCUGUCUGGAGGGACGAAGGAAGUGACGGUACCUCCGGAGGAAGCCACGGCUAACUACGUG